rnacentral:rRNA from 1 species
AUUGAACGCUGGCGGCAGGCCUAACACAUGCAAGUCGAGCGGAGCGGCGGACGGGUGGGUAAUGCCUAGGAAUCUGCAUGGUAGUGGGGGAUAACGUCCGGAAACGGGCGCUAAUACCGCAUACUAUCAGAUGAGCCUAGGGCGGAUUAGCUAGUUGGUGGGGUAAAGGCCGACCAAGGCGACGAACCGUAACUGGGCUGAGAGGAUGAUCAGUCACACUGGAACUGAGACACGUGCCAGACUCCUACGGGAGGCAGCAGUGGGGAACAUUGGACAAUGGUCGAAAGCCUGAUCCAGCCAUGCCGCGUGUGUGAAGAAGGUCUUCGGAUUGUAAAGCACUUUAAGUUGGGAGGCGUUACCAACAGAAUAAGCACCGGCUAACUUCGUGCCAGCCGCCGCGGUAAUAC